rnacentral:rRNA from 1 species
UGGGGAAUAUUGGACAAUGGGGGCAACCCUGAUCCAGCCAUGCCGCGUGAGUGAUGAAGGCCUUCGGGUUGUAAAGCUCUUUUGGCGGGGACGAUGAUGACGGUACCCGCAGAAUAAGCCCCGGCUAACUUCGUGCCAGCAGCCGCGGUAAGACGAAGGGGGCAAGCGUUGUUCGGAAUUACUGGGCGUAAAGGGCGCGUAGGCGGUUUGCUUAGUCAGGCGUGAAAGCCCUGGGCUUAACCUGGGAUGUGCGCUUGAUACUGGCAGGCUUGAGUGUGGGAGAGGUCGGUGGAAUUCCCAGUGUAGAGGUGAAAUUCGUAGAUAUUGGGAAGAACACCGGUGGCGAAGGCGGCCAACUGGACCACAACUGACGCUGAGGCGCGAAAGCGUGGGGAGCAAACA